rnacentral:rRNA from 1 species
GACGAACGCUGGCGGCGUGCUUAACACAUGCAAGUCGAACGAAGUGGCGAACGGGUGAGUAACGCGUAAUCACCCUGCCCUUCAGAGGGGGACAACAGUUUGCAACGACAGCUAAUACCGCCUACUGAUGGAGGGGAUUGCGUCUGAUGAGCUAGUGGGGGGGGUAACGGCCCACCAAGGCGAUGAUCAGGAGCGGGACGGAGAGGGUGAAGGGCCACAGUGAGACGGAGACUCGGCCAAGACUCCAACGGGAGGCAGCAGUAGGGAUUCUGCCGAAAUGGAAGUAGGUCCGAGGGAGAAACGCCGCGUGAGUGAUGACGGCGUUCGGGUUAUAAAGCUCUGUUAAUCGGUACACGGUACCGGAAUAGAAAGCCACGGCUAACUACGUGCCAGCAGCCGCGGUAAUUC